rnacentral:rRNA from 1 species
UGGGGAAUAUUGGACAAUGGGCGCAAGCCUGAUCCAGCCAUGCCGCGUGAGUGAUGAAGGUCUUUAGGAUUGUAAAGCUCUUUCACCGGAGAAGAUAAUGACGGUAUCCGGAGAAGAAGCCCCGGCUAACUUCGUGCC